rnacentral:lncRNA from 1 species
UUUAUAUGAAGGAGAUAUAGGCCCUCAAAGUUGAGGUAUUGAUUUGGGAGCUAUUGUAACCCUUUUCGGUAUAACAUAUGCAUACGGAAGGCAAUUGAGGAUUGGUGGCUGCGACUGGAGAGAGCACCUUUACGGCUAUACUUUUUGCAUAUUGUUUACUAGAUUCCAAGUUGAAGUAAAGGAGUUAUUCGAUUCUGAAGUUAGUACAUACAAUCUAAGGGUAGUAAGUGAUCCGAUUUACAAGUAGUUGUGACUUGAGCUAUAUCUUGAGCAAUUUGAUAAGGUUUUGAUUCAAAAUUUUAAGAAAUAUGUAUAUUCAUAUUAAUAAACAUAGUACAUAAGUUUGAUGAUAUUUGAAUAUU